rnacentral:rRNA from 1 species
GACGAACGCUGGCGGCGUGCUUAACACAUGCAAGUCGAACGGAAAGGCCCUGCUCUUGUGGGGUGCUCGAGUGGCGAACGGGUGAGUAACACGUGAGUAACCUGCCCUUGACUUUGGGAUAACUUCAGGAAACUGGGGCUAAUACCGGAUAGGAGCUCCUGCUGCAUGGGGGGGGUUGGAAAGUUUCGGCGGUUGGGGAUGGACUCGCGGCUUAUCAGCUUGUUGGUGGGGUAGUGGCUUACCAAGGCUUUGACGGGUAGGCGGCCUGAGAGGGUGACCGGCCACAUUGGGACUGAGAUACGGCCCAGACUCCUACGGGAGGCAGCAGUGGGGAAUAUUGCACAAUGGGCGGAAGCCUGAUGCAGCAACGCCGCGUGCGGGAUGACGGCCUUCGGGUUGUAAACCGCUUUCGCCUGUGACGAAGCGUGAGUGACGGUAAUGGGUAAAGAAGCACCGGCUAACUACGUG